UGCUCGCCGAAUGUAGCGGUCAAGCAUGGGGGCCUUUGGAGCCCCAGACCCCAGUUCGAAUCUGGGCCGGGCUACCA
rnacentral:tRNA from 1 species